rnacentral:rRNA from 1 species
GCGAACGGGUGAGUAACACGUGAGUAACCUGCCCUUGACUCUGGGAUAAGCCUGGGAAACUGGGUCUAAUACCGGAUACGACCAUCUGGCGCAUGUCAUGGUGGUGGAAAGCUUUUGUGGUUUUGGAUGGACUCGCGGCCUAUCAGCUUGUUGGUGGGGUAAUGGCCUACCAAGGCGACGACGGGUAGCCGGCCUGAGAGGGUGACCGGCCACACUGGGACUGAGACACGGCCCAGACUCCUACGGGAGGCAGCAGUGGGGAAUAUUGCACAAUGGGCGAAAGCCUGAUGCAGCGACGCCGCGUGAGGGAUGACGGCCUUCGGGUUGUAAACCUCUUUCAGUAGGGAAGAAGCGAAAGUGACGGUACCUGCAGAAGAAGCGCCGGCUAACUACGUGCCAGCAGCCGCGGUAAUACGUAGGGCGCAAGCGUUAUCCGGAAUUAUUGGGCGUAAAGAGCUCGUAGGCGGUUUGUCGCGUCUGCUGUGAAAGACCGGGGCUCAACUCCGGUUCUGCAGUGGGUACGGGCAGACUAGAGUGCAGUAGGGGAGACUGGAAUUCCUGGUGUAGCGGUGAAAUGCGCAGAUAUCAGGAGGAACACCGAUGGCGAAGGCAGGUCUCUGGGCUGUAACUGACGCUGAGGAGCGAAAGCAUGGGGAGCGAACAGGAUUAGAUACCCUGGUAGUCCAUGCCGUAAACGUUGGGCACUANGUGUGGGGGGACAUUCCACGUUUUCCGCGCCGUANCUAACGCA